rnacentral:lncRNA from 1 species
CGGAAAGCCGGGCACCACAACCGGACUGCAGCUGGCGGGUGCGCUGAUCUGACGUCACAGGGGCGGCCGCUCCCGCCCCACCCGCGUGGUGCCGCACCUCUGCGCAGCGGCGUUCCCGAGCCUCACAGGUGGGCAGAGAACUGCUUGGAUAGCUUCAUCACACACUGUCUUCAGACCUCAUUGGGUGAGAGCUGAGCACUCCAGGAUGAUGGGAGUGUUAAGACAAUGGUGUCACACUUCUGGAUACCACUUUGAAUGAGAAUAUCUAGAGUCCAGAAUGAGGUACACCCAAGGGAGAGGACUGUGGCAGAGACUGGCAUAGAGACGGCACCUUGAAUGCUUGCUGAAUCAGUAACGGAAGAAACCAAGUCUGUCUUCUCUCAGGAUUCUGGUAUCCGGAGCUAUUUUCAGAGCUGAAAAAAAAACUCACUGUAUUUUCGUGGGUGUAACACUGUGGCUGUAGAUAUUAGCCAGCAGUUUCAUUCAGUUUCCUGGCUUGCUCUCGUCACUCUACCGCUUCGUCCCUCCUUCUUCUCUCCUUCUUCGAAGCCCUCUGCCCUCUCUUCAUCCAUCAGCUCCUACAGCUCCAUGUGCCCCAAAGAGGAAGGGACUGAGGAAGAACCCUGGGAAACUCUCAGAGUAGAGUAGCUCCUGCUGAGACCAGGACCAGCCUUUCCAGACUGGCAGAAAAAACCCCAAAUCACUGCAGCAAGGAGCCUGGGCCAGGGUCAGCCACCAGGGGCAGAAGAGCUAAGACUGCAGAAGGGCCCUGAAUCCAGGCCAGAUCAACCCAACAGACACGCCUAUGGUGGUUCUGAAGUUCACAGGAAUGGCUAAUAUACACUCGAAGAAAGUGCAUUAAAUAAGUCAUUGCACAGAUUCAUUUUAAGUA